rnacentral:rRNA from 1 species
GACGAACGCUGGCGGCGUGCUUAACACAUGCAAGUCGAACGCUGAAGCUCAGCUUUUGUUGGGUGGAUGAGUGGCGAACGGGUGAGUAACACGUGAGUAACCUGCCUCCUUCUUUGGGAUAACGCCCGGAAACGGGUGCUAAUACUGGAUAUUCACUGGUCUUCGCAUGGGGGUUGGUGGAAAGGGUUUUUCUGGUGGGGGAUGGGCUCGCGGCCUAUCAGCUUGUUGGUGGGGUGAUGGCCUACCAAGGCUUUGACGGGUAGCCGGCCUGAGAGGGUGACCGGUCACAUUGGGACUGAGAUACGGCCCAGACUCCUACGGGAGGCAGCAGUGGGGAAUAUUGCACAAUGGGCGCAAGCCUGAUGCAGCGACGCCGCGUGAGGGAUGGAGGCCUUCGGGUUGUGAACCUCUUUCGCUCAUGGUCAAGCCGCAACAAUGGUUGCGGUGAGGGGAGUGGGUAAAGAAGCGCCGGCUAACUACGU